UAGUCCACGCCGUAAACGAUGGAUACUAGCUGUUCGGAUUUAUCUGAGUGGCUAAGCGAAAGUGAUAAGUAUCCCACCUGGGGAGUACGUUCGCAAGAAUGAAACUCAAAGGAAUUGACGGGGGCCCGCACAAGCGGUGGAGCAUGUGGUUUAAUUCGAUGGUACGCGAGGAACCUUACCAGGGCUUAAAUGUAGAUUGACAGGUCUAGAGAUAGACUUUUCUCCGGACAAUUUACAAGGUGCUGCAUGGUUGUCGUCAGCUCGUGCCGUGAGGUGUCAGGUUAAGUCCUAUAACAAGCGCAACCCCUGUUGUUAGUUGCCAGCAUGUAAAGAUGGGAACUCUAACAAGACUGCCGGUGCAAACCGUGAGGAAGGUGGGGAUGACGUCAAAUCAUCACGGCCCUUACGUCCUGGGCUACACACGUGCUACAAUGGUAGGGACAGAGAGCAGCCACUGCGCGAGCAGGAGCGAAUCUACAAACCCUAUCACAGUUCGGAUCGG
rnacentral:rRNA from 1 species